CUCUUCCUGUCCGGCUGAGGGGGCGGGGACGUGUGGAUCUCUUGUUCUGAGGGAAGCCAUGUACAUCAUUAGCAGUUCUAUAAAGAGGAUCACAUGGCAAGAAACUGAAACAUUCUGCCAGCUGCCCUGUGAAAGAACUUGGAAGUAGACCCUCCAGCCCUAAUCAAGUCUUCAGAGACUGUACUCAGCCAACAAUUGACUGCAACCUCAUAAGAGACCCUGAGCCAGACCGCCCAACGAGAAACUGUACUAUGGAAAUUAUGUUAGACAAAAAACAAAUGCAAGCAGUUUUCUUAUUCGAGUUCAAAAUGGGCUGCAAAGCAGCAGAGACAACUUGCAACAUCAAGAGUGCAUUUGGCCCAGGAACUGCUAAUGAACGUACAGUGCAGUGGUGGUUCAAGAAGUUUUGCAAAGGAUGGCCAGGCGCAGCAGCUCACACCUAUAAUCCCAGCACUUUGGGAGGCCAAGGCAUCCGGAUCACUUGAAGUCAGGAGUUCGAGGCCAGCCAGGCCAACAUGGUGAAACCCCAUCUCUACUAAAAAUAAAAAAAUUAGCUGGGCAUGGUGGCAUGCACCUGUAAUCCCAGCUACUCGGGAGGCUGAGGUGGGAGAAGCGCUUGAACCCAGGAGGCAGAGGUUGCAGUGAGCUGAGAUUGUGCCACUGCACUCCAGUGACAGAACAAGACUCCGUCUCAAUUUAAAAAGAAAGAAAGAAAGAAAGAAAGUUUUGCAAAGGAGCUGAGAGCCUUGAAGAUGAUGAGCAUAGUGACCGGCCAUGGGAAGUUGACAAUGACCAAUUGAGAGCAAUCAUUGAAGCUGAUCCUCUUAUAGCUACAUGAGAAGUUGCCUAAGAACUCAAUGUUGACCAUUCUAUCGUCACUCAGCAUUUGAAGCAAAUUGGAAAGGUAAAAAAGCUCGAUAAGUGGAUGCCUCAUGAGCCAACUGAAAAUAAAAAAAAUAUAUCGUUUUGAAGUGUUGUCUUCUCUUGUUCUACACAACAAUGAACCAUUUCUCGAUUGGAUUGAGAUGUGCUAUGAAAAGUAGAUUUUAUACAACAGCUGGCAAUGACCAGCUCAAUGGUUGGGCCCAGAAGAAGCUCCACAGCACUUCCCAAAGCACCAAAAACAGGUCAUGGUCACCGUUUGGUGGUCUGCUGCCAGUCUGAUCCACUACGGCUUUCCGAAUCCCAGUGAAACCAUUACAUCUGAGAAGUAUGCUUAGCAAAUCAAUGAGGCACUGAAAAGUGCAACACCUGCAGCUGACAGUGGUCAACAGAAAGGACCCAAUUCUUCUCCACAGCAACUACAAUGCCCGACUGCAUGUCGCACAACCAACCCUUCAAAAGUUGAACAAAUUGAUCUAUGAAGUUUUGCCUCAUCCACCAUAUUCAUCUGACCUGUGGCCAACCAACUACCACUUCUUCAAGCAUCUCAACAACUUUUUGCAGAGAAAACACUUCUACAACCAGCAGGAUGCAGAAAAUACUUUUUAAGAGUUUGGCGAAUCUGGAAGCACAGCUUCUUACACUACAGGAAUAAACGAACUUAUUUCUCAUUGGCAAAAAGGUGUUGAUUGUAAUGGUUCCUAUUUUGAUUAAUAAAAAUAUAUCUGAGCCUAGUUAUA
rnacentral:lncRNA from 1 species